CCACCCCUUUCUUCUUCCUAUCCAUCCAUGGGAGCGUCCGCCGGCGCUCCUUCCCCGGCGGCCGCAGCCGGGGAAGGAGCCGCAGCGGGCCAGGCCGGCACCAUAGCUGGCCCCGCCCACAAGGAGCCAACCAGGGGGGCGCGCGGCCUGGGUCGUGGCCUCCAGUCAGGGGCGCGCCCACGGCGGAGCAGCUUCUAGCCGGGAGCGCGGCCAGGCUCGCUGCUUGCCUGCUUCCUCAGCCUGAAGUCCAAACGACGCUGCCGACGUCAACUGUGCAUGCCUGAAGCCCAAAUAUCGCUGCCGUUGUCGACGGACACAAGUCAAAACAACGCCAGCCGUCGGCAACGUCGACGACGGCGGCAUCCACGUCCACCACGGCGCGCCGCGCCUCCAUCUUCAUCAAAUUGUGGAACAAGAAGAAAGUACAAAAGAAUGCCAUAUCAACGCAACCGGUGAGCAAGCACAAUUUUUUAUGUAUACUGCAGUGCAUUCAUUCAAUUGUGUGUUACAAUUUUUGAUAUAGUCAUGUCCGUGCUGAAACUGUUUCCUCCAAGUUGAGAGAUGGUAAAUCAUUCUCUCAUUCAAAACAGCUGCAGAACUUGUAAUCUAAGUUUAAUAUCUUUGGAAAGUUAUUUGGUGAUGUGCAUCUUUCUGGUAUGCUCUAGCAUAAA